AGUUUGAUCCUGGCUCAGGAUGAACGCUAGCGGCAGGCCUAAUACAUGCAAGACGAACGGCAAGAAUGAUAGCAAUAUUGUUCCUAGAGUGUCGUAAGGGUGCGUAACACGUAUGCAAUCUACCCGAAACUGGAGCAUAGCUCCCCGAAAGGGGAAUUAACACUCCAUAAGAUCAUAGAAUGGCAUCAUUUAGUGAUUAAAACUGAGGUGGUUUCGGAUGAGCAUGCGUUUGAUUAGUUAGUUGGUGAGGUAAUGGCUCACCAAGACGAUGAUCAAUAGGGGAACUGAGAGGUUGAUCCCCCACACUGGCACUGAGAUACGGGCCAGACUCCUACGGGAGGCAGCAGUAGGGAAUAUUGGACAAUGGGUGAGAGCCUGAUCCAGCCAUGCCGCGUGCAGGAAGAAGGCCUUCUGGGUUGUAAACUGCUUUUGCCAGGGGAUAAAAUAUCCUUGCGAGGAUAAUUGAAGGUACCUGGUGAAUAAGCCACGGCUAACUACGUGCCAGCAGCCGCGGUAAUACGUAGGUGGCAAGCGUUGUCCGGAUUUAUUGGGUUUAAAGGGUGCGUAGGCGGUUCCAUAAGUCAGUGGUGAAAUACAAUAGCUUAACUAUUGAGGUGCCAUUGAUACUGCGGAACUUGAGUACAGACGAGGUA
rnacentral:rRNA from 1 species